AUGCUGCUAAUGAACUAACCUGAUGAUAAGAUUGACAAAAAAGAAUGUAUACAUUGAUAAAAAAAAAAGGUUAGAGUUGUCCUGCAUGCUCAUCGCAGUUCCUUCUGCCUUUUUAGCAGCUAGAAGAACACAUUUUUUAUCGACAUUAGGCUGGAAAGAUUGCUCCAUUUGCAUGCUAACCUUCGUGAGUGACGGUGUUGUAGGCGAGAAGACGAGUGGCCAGCCUUUGGUGUUUGAGCACAGCAGAAGGUUGUUUCCAAGAAGACUUGUGAUGUUAAUCUUGCAAUUAAUAAGGAACAGAGAAGAAGAAGGCCAUGAUUGAUCCAGCUAGGUGAUGAGAGGUCUUCUUGCCCAGGGAAAGAUCGAUGAAGGCAAGAAAAGAUGGAGAGCAGUACUACUAGCUAGAGACAAGCAAGAACAGCAAAUGGAGCUUAGCAGAGAAACAUAAACGAUGAUAGAUGCACUAAUGCCCGCAGCAGUAGUACACAAUAGCUGGUAUUUAAGAUUGGAUGAGAGGAGUAGCUAGGACUAGCAAGCGAAAGGAGGAGGAGGAGGAGGUGACCCACAAAUAAGGCCAAAAGCAGAGGAAAGCAAAUGCAGGCUGCAGGAAGAUACGACCAGUUAAAACGAUAAUAAAAAGCAGAGCAGGGGAGCAGAGAAAGGAAAGCUGAAUGGAGCUAAGCAGUGGCAUCUAUCAAGUGUGUCCUUGUGUUCGUGCUGCCGCUGCCAAUUCCUCCAUUAAAAGAAGAGAGAAAGAUGCAUGAGCGGCUUGCAAUGCAACAAAGAGUGGUCAGUAGUAAUGGGCGCAAUGAUAGAGAUUAAGAGAUAUUUGGAGGUUAAUUUAAGUGGCGAUCGACACUGCUCCAAUAUGGAGGAGAGUGACCGUUACCAAAUCUCAGUAAUGAGUCAUGAUUCCUUUCUCUUUC